CAGAUCAGCACGUACACAUGGACAUGGGACACGCCCACAUACACACACGCACCUAAAGCUCUCGCCGCUCUCAGUCUCCCGCGACCCGCUCGAUCCCAACUCUGGUCUGGUAGUCAGUGUAGCUAGCUACACUGGAGAAACAUGCCACCCGGUAAGUGGGCUAAAUACGGGAAGAAAUAUACGAAAGAAUGGGAAAGUGAAAACGGAAUUAAAGAAUGGAUAGAACGUGUGGCUGGGGAUGAUACCAAAGCUUUUUGUCGGUACUGCAAAACCGAGAUUCGUGCGCACCACAGUGAUCUCCAAAACCACAGCAAAACACAUUCGAAAUGCUGCUCCGUUCUCCAGUUGUCGAGCAGGGAGGAAGAGAGAAAAGGGAAGAGAAAGCCUCAAGACAAAGCAUCAGGUCCAGGUCCACGUUGAACAGCUGGCCGUGGAGCGCCUUGUUCACCUGCUCCUUCC